GCCUGGCCGGCUCAGUCAGAGGAGUGUGCGACUCCUGAUCCUGGGGUCGUGGGUUCAAGCCCCAUGCCGGGUG
rnacentral:tRNA from 1 species